UACAGAGGGGGCAAGCGUUGUUCGGAAUUACUGGGCGUAAAGGGCGCGUAGGCGGCCUUCUAAGUCAGACGUGAAAUCCCCAGGCUUAACCUGGGAACUGCGUCGGAUACUGGUUGGCUUGAAUCCGGGAGAGGGAUGCGGAAUUCCAGGUGUAGCGGUGAAAUGCGUAGAUAUCUGGAGGAACACCGGUGGCGAAGGCGGCAUCCUGGACCGGCAUUGACACUGAAAAGCGAAAGCCAGGGGAGCAAACGGG
rnacentral:rRNA from 1 species